UACGGAGGGUGCGAGCGUUGUCCGGAUUUAUUGGGUUUAAAGGGUGCGUAGGCGGCCUUAUAAGUCCGGGGUGAAAGCCCGCUGCUCAACAGCGGAACUGCCCUGGAUACUGUGAGGCUUGAGUACAGACGAGGUUGGCGGAAUGGACCGAGUAGCGGUGAAAUGCAUAGAUACGGUCCAGAACCCCGAUUGCGAAGGCAGCUGACUAGGCUGUUACUGACGCUGAGGCACGAAAGCGUGGGGAGCGAACAGG
rnacentral:rRNA from 1 species